rnacentral:rRNA from 1 species
AGAGUUUGAUCCUGGCUCAGGAUGAACGCUAGCGGCAGGCCUAACACAUGCAAGUCGAGGGGCAGCACAUGAGGUGGUAACACCGAUGGUGGCGACCGGCGGACGGGUGCGUAACGCGUAUGCAACCUACCUUUUACAGGGGGAUAACGGAGAGAAAUUUCCACUAAUACCCCAUAAUAUCGAAGAGGGCAUCUUCUUUGGUUGAAAACUCCGGUGGUAAAAGAUGGGCAUGCGUUGUAUUAGAUAGUUGGUGAGGUAACGGCUCACCAAGUCGACGAUACAUAGGGGGACUGAGAGGUUAACCCCCCACACUGGUACUGAGACACGGACCAGACUCCUACGGGAGGCAGCAGUGAGGAAUAUUGGUCAAUGGGGGCAACCCUGAACCAGCCAUGCCGCGUGCAGGAAGACGGCUCUAUGAGUUGUAAACUGCUUUUGUAGAUGGAUAAUUGCGGGCACGUGUGCUCGUUUGCAGGUAAUCUACGAAUAAGGAUCGGCUAACUCCGUGCCAGCAGCCGCGGUAAUACGGAGGAUCCAAGCGUUAUCCGGAUUUAUUGGGUUUAAAGGGUGCGUAGGCGGUUCGGUAAGUUAGAGGUGAAAACCCGUGGCUCAACCACGGACGUGCCUCUGAUACUGCCGGACUAGAGAGUAGAUGCGGUAGGCGGAAUGUGUGGUGUAGCGGUGAAAUGCUUAGAGAUCACACAGAACACCGAUUGCGAAGGCAGCUUACCAAUCUAUAUCUGACGUUGAGGCACGAAAGCGUGGGUAGCAAACAGGAUUAGAUACCCUGGUAGUCCACGCAGUAAACGAUGAUAGCUCGUUGUCGGCGAUACACAGUCGGUGACUUAGCGAAAGCGUUAAGCUAUCCACCUGGGGAGUACGUUCGCAAGAAUGAAACUCAAAGGAAUUGACGG